rnacentral:rRNA from 1 species
UGGGGAAUUUUGGACAAUGGGCGAAAGCCUGAUCCAGCAAUGCCGCGUGUGUGAAGAAGGCCUUCGGGUUGUAAAGCACUUUUGUCCGGAAAGAAAUCCUUGGUUCUAAUACAGUCGGGGGAUGACGGUACCGGAAGAAUAAGCACCGGCUAACUACGUGCCAGCAGCCGCGGUAAUACGUAGGGUGCAAGCGUUAAUCGGAAUUACUGGGCGUAAAGCGUGCGCAGGCGGUUUGCUAAGACCGAUGUGAAAUCCCCGGGCUCAACCUGGGAACUGCAUUGGUGACUGGCAGGCUAGAGUAUGGCAGAGGGGGGUAGAAUUCCACGUGUAGCAGUGAAAUGCGUAGAGAUGUGGAGGAAUACCGAUGGCGAAGGCAGCCCCCUGGGCCAAUACUGACGCUCAUGCACGAAAGCGUGGGGAGCAAACAGGAUUAGAUACCCUGGUAGUCCACGCCCUAAAACGAUGUCAACUAGUUGUUGGGGAUUCAUUUCCUUAGUAACGUAGCUAACGCGUGAAGUUGACCGCCUGGGGAGUACGGUCGCAAGAUUAAAACUCAAAUGAAUUGACGGGGUCAUAGCUG